rnacentral:rRNA from 1 species
GUGGGGAAUCUUGCGCAAUGGGCGAAAGCCUGACGCAGCCAUGCCGCGUGAAUGAUGAAGGUCUUAGGAUUGUAAAAUUCUUUCACCGGGGACGAUAAUGACGGUACCCGGAGAAGAAGCCCCGGCUAACUUCGUGCCAGCAGCCGCGGUAAUACGAAGGGGGCUAGCGUUGCUCGGAAUUACUGGGCGUAAAGGGCGCGUAGGCGGACAGUUUAGUCAGAGGUGAAAGCCCAGGGCUCAACCUUGGAAUUGCCUUUGAGACUGGCUGUCUUGAGUACGGGAGAGGUGAGUGGAACUCCGAGUGUAGAGGUGAAAUUCGUAGAUAUUCGGAAGAACACCAGUGGCGAAGGCGACUCACUGGCCCGUUACUGACGCUGAGGCGCGAAAGCGUGGGGAGCAAACAGGAUUAGAUACCCGAGUAGUCC